AAGACUGUCUACCAGCCUGUGGAUCAUCUCUAUCCUCCAGGAGGUGUGGAGGGGCUGGCCCAGGAGGACAUUACAUAUGUCAGGACCCACAGUCAGGCACUCCUUCAGGAGGCAGGAGACGGAGGAGCAGCGAAGGAAGCUGUGGGAGCAGGGCAGCGGCAGGGGGUACAGAGGAAAGAAGAGGAGUCACAACAAAGGACAGAGGUAAAGGAGGAGCAAGUCAGAGCUCCAAGACUCAGGUUUUGCACACCCACAAAUUCCAUUUCCAAAGACCUGAUGGAGACUUUGAGUCCCUUCCCUGGAUUGCAGCCUCCCAGCAGAGCUCAAACAGAACACAC
rnacentral:lncRNA from 1 species